rnacentral:rRNA from 1 species
GGAUAAGCUUCAUUGUCAAGAGGGAAACAGCCCAGACCACCAGCUAAGGCCCCAAAAUGGCCGCUAAGUGGAAAAGGAUGUGAGAAUGCUAAAACAACUAGGAGGUUUGCUUAGAAGCAGCAAAGCCUUUGAAGAAAGCGUAAUAGCUCACUAGUUUAGCGUUCUUGCGCCGACAAUGGCCGGGACUAAGCGGCCUGCCGAAGCUGUGGGAUCAAAAAUCGGUAGGGGAGCGUUCUGCUUCGGGUGAAGCUUACACGAAAGUGAUGGUGGACGAAGCGGAAGUGAGAAUGUCGGCUUGAGUAACGAAAACAUUGGUGAGAAUCCAAUGCCCCGAUAACCUAAGGGUUCCUCCGCAAGGCUCGUCCACGGGGGGUAAGUCAGGACCUAAGGCCAGGCCUUUCGGCGUAGUCGAUGGAAAACAGGUUAAUAUUCCUGUACUGAUUCUUGUGGGUCACGGGGGACGAAGCAGGCUAAGCUGGAACUGUUCAUGGAUUGCAGUGGAAGCAUUCAAGGCGUUAACAGGUAGAACAAAAAUUACUCUGGAGCUGAGAUGUGAUCCUGUUCGACGUUUAUGACGAAGCAUCGAUCUCGAUGCUUAGUUAACUCGGACACCAGCUGACGUCAAACUUCCAAGAAAAGCCCGAAAACCCCUCAAUUUUGAGGUCAAACAC